rnacentral:misc_RNA from 1 species
CGAGGAAGCAACUUUUGUGGAUCCCGCCUUGCGUGGAAAGUAUUGUGUUGUGUUUGAUCCACUUGAUGGUUCUUCAAACAUUGACUGUGGUGUCUCCAUUGGAACAAUUUUUGGUAUCUAUGCUGUGAAGGAUCCAAACAAAGUGACACUAGAAGAUGUAUUGCAACCAGGAAAAAAUAUGGUAGCAGCAGGCUAUUGCAUGUAUGGUAGUUCUUGCACGCUGGUACUGAGCACUGGGAGUGGUGUAAAUGGUUUCACUCUAGAUCCAUCUCUUGG